rnacentral:rRNA from 1 species
AGAGUUUGAUCAUGGCUCAGAUUGAACGCUGGCGGCAGGCCUAACACAUGCAAGUCGAGCGGUAGCACAGAGAGCUUGCUCUCGGGUGACGAGCGGCGGACGGGUGAGUAAUGUCUGGGAAACUGCCUGAUGGAGGGGGAUAACUACUGGAAACGGUAGCUAAUACCGCAUAAUGUCGCAAGACCAAAGUGGGGGACCUUCGGGCCUCAUGCCAUCAGAUGUGCCCAGAUGGGAUUAGCUAGUAGGUGGGGUAACGGCUCACCUAGGCGACGAUCCCUAGCUGGUCUGAGAGGAUGACCAGCCACACUGGAACUGAGACACGGUCCAGACUCCUACGGGAGGCAGCAGUGGGGAAUAUUGCACAAUGGGCGCAAGCCUGAUGCAGCCAUGCCGCGUGUAUGAAGAAGGCCUUCGGGUUGUAAAGUACUUUCAGCGGGGAGGAAGGCGAUAAGGUUAAUAACCUUGUCGAUUGACGUUACCCGCAGAAGAAGCACCGGCUAACUCCGUGCCAGCAGCCGCGGUAAUACGGAGGGUGCAAGCGUUAAUCGGAAUUACUGGGCGUAAAGCGCACGCAGGCGGUCUGUCAAGUCGGAUGUGAAAUCCCCGGGCUCAACCUGGGAACUGCAUUCGAAACUGGCAGGCUAGAGUCUUGUAGAGGGGGGUAGAAUUCCAGGUGUAGCGGUGAAAUGCGUAGAGAUCUGGAGGAAUACCGGUGGCGAAGGCGGCCCCCUGGACAAAGACUGACGCUCAGGUGCGAAAGCGUGGGGAGCAAACAGGAUUAGAUACCCUGGUAGUCCACGCCGUAAACGAUGUCGAUUUGGAGGUUGUGCCCUUGAGGCGUGGCUUCCGGAGCUAACGCGUUAAAUCGACCGCCUGGGGAGUACGGCCGCAAGGUUAAAACUCAAAUGAAUUGACGGGGGCCCGCACAAGCGGUGGAGCAUGUGGUUUAAUUCGAUGCAACGCGAAGAACCUUACCUGGUCUUGACAUCCACAGAACUUAGCAGAGAUGCUUUGGUGCCUUCGGGAACUGUGAGACAGGUGCUGCAUGGCUGUCGUCAGCUCGUGUUGUGAAAUGUUGGGUUAAGUCCCGCAACGAGCGCAACCCUUAUCCUUUGUUGCCAGCGGUUCGGCCGGGAACUCAAAGGAGACUGCCAGUGAUAAACUGGAGGAAGGUGGGGAUGACGUCAAGUCAUCAUGGCCCUUACGACCAGGGCUACACACGUGCUACAAUGGCAUAUACAAAGAGAAGCGACCUCGCGAGAGCAAGCGGACCUCAUAAAGUAUGUCGUAGUCCGGAUUGGAGUCUGCAACUCGACUCCAUGAAGUCGGAAUCGCUAGUAAUCGUAGAUCAGAAUGCUACGGUGAAUACGUUCCCGGGCCUUGUACACACCGCCCGUCACACCAUGGGAGUGGGUUGCAAAAGAAGUAGGUAGCUUAACCUUCGGGAGGGCGCUUACCACUUUGUGAUUCAUGACUGGGGUGAAGUCGUAACAAGGUAACCGUAGGGGAACCUGCGGUUG